GCACAAGCAGCGGAGCGUGUGGUUUAAUUCGAUGCUACACGAAGAACCUUACCAGGGUUUGACAUACAAGUAGUAGGGAAGGAAACUGGACCGACCUUCGGGGAGCUUGUACAGGUGCUGCAUGGCUGUCGUCAGCUCGUGUCGUGAGAUGUUGGGUUAAGUCCCGCAACGAGCGCAACCCUUAUCAUUAGUUGCUACGCAAGGGCACUCUAAUGAGACUGCCGGUGACAAACCGGAGGAAGUGGGGAUGACGUCAAGUCCUCAUGGCCCUUAUGGGUAGGGCUUCACACGUCAUACAAUGGUCGGUACAGAGGGUUGCCAAGCCGCGAGGCGGAGCCAAUCCCACAAAGCCGAUCGUAGUCCGGAUUGUUCUCUGCAACUCGAGAGCAUGAAGUCGGAAUCGCUAGUAAUCGCAGGUCAGCAUACUGCGGUGAAUACGUUCCCGGGUCUU
rnacentral:rRNA from 1 species